rnacentral:lncRNA from 1 species
CUCUGUCAGUAUCCCAUUGCCUCCUCCCACGUGUUGCCUGAACCAAAAGAUGCAUUCACUUGGCUAGUCCCCCCGCCACCUCCAGCUGUGGACAACUAUAUAUCUGCAUACACAUUUGAUGAAAUCAGAAACAUGAGAUACGCACAAACACAUAAGCAUGAAGAGAUCAUGAACAAUCAAAUCAAAAGGGGAAGGAAAAGGCAUUAGAUGAAUUUUGUAGUGUGGCUUGAUCAAUGGGGACAAAAGGGGAAAACCCUUCAAUUUCAAGUCUCUUUGCACUCUGGACAAGGGACCUAGAGGCAUUGUACCAUGUCCUUGACCUGAAAUUAACCAAAGAUAAAAGUACCACUGGAUCAAUUCAAAGAACAAUGAUCAACAAACAGCACCCCAACAUGAAUACAUAUGUAACACUUAUUUUUGUGAAAUAUAUCAUCUUCCCACCAUUUGACAAAGAAACCAGGAAAGGAAAAGGCACUGAAACUAUAAUACAAAUAGUCAGUUAGAAUAAACACACAGCUACAUACUGAUCGAUAACAUCAUUUUUUUUUCCUAUCCUCAGCAAGUACAAGUCCAUUGCAAUAAUGCAGUAGAUAAUACCAUAAGUGUAGAACCUGCAUCAUAAUCAGAGGGAAGCAAUGAGGCCAAGCUUAGACAUUAGAAACUUGUGCCCAAGUUAGGACAAAAGCUGGCACAAAGGAAUCUAAUCCAACAAUAGGCAGCCGACAGUCAUUAUAUUAAUUAAAAAAGAAAAAGAAACAACUUACAAACAGCAAAAGGGUUUUUCUAUUAGUUUUGAUAAACUCCCUUUUAUGUUUCCAACUGUACUUCAUAGUUUUCAGAGUCUUCAUCUAACACUAGAAUCCAUGUGGAAAGAAGAAUCAUUACCACACAUGUACAUACAUAAUUGAUAUAUAUAUGCAAAGACCAUCGCAAGCACAAAGUCUAAAAUUUGAUAAAUUGUAUUAGGGUAAGGCACCACAAAUCACAUACACAACACAAUACGAAGCACAAAUUUUAAGACUUAGUUCUCUACAGGACGGCAUUUGCCUCUGCAAACUUAUCCCGAACUGGAAGUUGUUAGGAGCUUUUUGCAACCUAGAAGCACAAACAAAAAAAAAGAAAAAGAAAAACUUCCAGACUAACUACACUGUAUCAUUAGAUAACUAAUUCGUGUUUCAAAGUGUGAGACUUGCAGAAUUACCGAAAUAGAUGAAUCUUGCUUGUCCUCAGUCAGCUUUAGAAAUACAUAAGGAUAUGUUCCUCCUAAAUGAAUCUUCUGCGGCUUUCAGAUACUUUGCUAUAGUUCUCUUCCAGUUUCUGCUCCAAUUGCGUGAGUGUUGAUUGGAAAGCCCAAAUUUAGAUAAACUACUGUAAAUAAACAUGACUUGUUCAUUUCUCACCUGGAAUUGAAUGAAUAGGAGAAGCUUUAGAAACGUGGCUGCAAAAUCAGAAGUUGACAAUCACAGCUACCAAAUCCUCUUUCUCUCUCUCACACAAAAAAACGGUCUUAAUCCAAAAUUUGAUACCCAUAUCUCUAAUUGUCAAAAAAUCGGAGACACAUAACCAAAUUUCAAAUUCACCAUGAAAUAGAAAACCAAAUGAUAACCCAUAACCAAAAUUGAAAUCAAACAAAGAAUUACCCACACUGCUAUGCCAAUUGACCGGACAUGAACAUCAGAAAAAGCAUUUCACUUUAAUAAGAGGAUGUGAAAAACAGGAAAUAAGAUCAAAGCAAUUGAGCUAGUACUUACAUUCAACAUAUUUAGUUUCUAGCAAGGUCCAGUUAUCUCUCCAAUUUUGUAUUCAGGUGGCCCUCAAUAGCAAAAAGAAGAAAGAAAAAGAAAUUAAUAUAUAAUCUUGUACAUACAUGAUUGAUAUAUGAUCUUCUAAAAUGAUUAUACAGAAAUUAGGAAGUUCUACACAACUUAGUGCAUUCAUAUCUACCUCAGUUCUGAUUGCUUCCAAAGAGUGUCAUUAGCACCCAUAUGAGACUUGAGUACUCUGUUAGUAUCCCAUUGCCUCCUCCCAUGUGUUGCUUGAACCAAAAGAUGCAUUCACUUGGCUAGUCCCCCCACCACCCCCAGCUAUGGACAACUAUAUAUCUGCAUACACAUUUGAUGAAUUUAGAAACAUAAGCAUAAGCAUAAACACAUAAGCAUACACAUAAGCAUGAAGAGAUCAUGAACAAUCAAACCAAAAGGGGAAGGAGAAGGCAUUAGAUGAAUUUUGCAGAGUGGUUUGAUCAAUGGGGACAAAAGGGGAAAACCCUUCAAUUUCAAGUCUCUUUGCACUCUCGACCAGGAACCUAUAGGCAUUGUACCACGUCCUUGACCUGAAAUUAACCAAAGAUAAAAGUACCACUGGAUCAAUUCAAAGAACAAUGAUCAACAAACAGCACCCCGACAUGAAUAGAUAUAUAACACUUAUUUCUGAGAAAUAUAUCAUCUUCCCACCAUUUGACAAAGAAACCAGGAAAGGAAAAGGCACUGAAACUAUAAUACUAACAGUCACUUACGAUAAACCCUCACCUACAUACUGAUCAAUACAUCAUUUUUUUUCCAUCCUCAGCGAGUACAAGUCCAUUGCAAAUGAGAUUCUGAAAGGCAGGAUUGCCAAAUAAUGCAGUAGAUAACACCAUAGGUGUAGAACCUGCAUCAUAAUCAGAGGGAAGCAAUGACGCCUAACUUAGACAUUAGAAAAUUGUGCCCAAGUUAGGACAAAAGCUGACACAAAGGAAUCUAAUCCAACAAUAGGCAGCCGACAGUCAUUAUAUUAAUUAAAAAAAAAAAACAAACUUACAAACAGCGAAAGGGUUUUUCUAUUAGUUACCAAAAUAAACUCCCUAUUAUGUUUGCAGCUGUACUUCAUAGUUUUCGGAGUCUGCAACUAACACUAGAAUCCAUGUGGAAAGAAGUAUCAUUGCCACACAUGUACGUACAUAAUUCAUAUAUAUAUAUGCAAAGACCAUCGCAAGCACAAAGUCUACCAUUUGAUAAAUUGUAUUAGGGUAAGGCACCACAAAUCACAUACACAACACAAUACGAAGCACAAAUUUUAAGACUUAGUUCUCUACAGGAAGGCAUUUGCCUCUGCAAACUUAUCCCGAACUGGAAGUUGUUAGGAGCUUUUUGCAACCUAGAAGCACAAACAAAAAAAAGGGGAAAAAAAAACUUACAGAAUAACUACACUGUAUCAUUAGAUAACUAACUUGUGUUUCAAAGUGUGAGACUUGCAGAAUUACCGAAAUAGAUGAAUCUUGCUUGUCCUCAGUCAGCUUUAGAAAUACAUAAGGAUAUGCUCCUCCUAAAUGAAUCUUUUGCGGCUUUCACAUACUUUACUGUUGUUCUCUUCUAGUUCCUGCUCCAAUUGCGUGAGUGUUGAUUGGAAGGCCCAAAUUUAGAUAAACUGCUGUAAAUAAACAUGACUUUUUCAUUUCUCACCUGGAAUUGAAUGAACAGGAGAAGCUUUAGAAAUCUGGUUGGAGAAUCAGAAGUUGACAAUCACAGCUACAAAAUCCUCAUUCUCUCUGUCACAAAAAAAAAGAGGGUCUCAAUCCAAAAUUUGAUACCCAUAUCUCUAAUUGUCAAAAAAUCGGAGACACAUAACCAAAUUUCAAAUUCACCAUGAAAUAGAAAACCAAAUGAUAACCCAUAACCAAAAUUGAAAUCAAACAAAGAAUUACCCAGACUGCUAUGCCAAUUGACCGGAAAUGAACAACAGAAAAAGCAAUUCACUUUAAUAAGAGGAUGGUGAAACACAGGAAAUAAGAUCAAAGCAAUUGAGCUAGUACUUACAUUCACCAUAUUUAGUUUCCAGCCAGGUCCAGUUAUCUCUCCAAUUUUGUAUUCAGGUGGCACUUAAUAGCAAAAAGAAGAAAGAAAAAGAAAUUAAUAUAUAAUCUUGUACAUACAUGAUUGAUAUAUAAUCUUCUAAAACGAUUAUAGAAAAAUUAGGAAGUUCUACACACCUUUGUGCAUUCAUAUCUACCUCAGUUCUGAUUGCUUCCAAAGAGUGUCAUUAGCACCCAUAUGGGACUUGAGUACUUUGUCAGUAUCCCAUUGCCUCCUCCCAUGUGUUGCCUGAACCAAAAGAUGCAUUCGCUUGGCUAGUCUCCCCGCCACCCCCAGCUGUGGACAACUAUAGAUCUGCAUACACAUUUGAUGAAUUUAGAAGCAUGGGAUACGCAUUAAUUGACAAUAAGUCUAAAGUUAUUUAGUUUGAACCAAUUUAAAACCUUAACAUGAUUGUCCAAAAAAAAAAUAACAAAAAAGAGCUCUGUUCUGCUAUAACUAAUCAAGAAGGGAUCAUUAGUCAUUAUAAAUUGAUAAUAUAAUUCCCGUAGACACAAUACUGAUUGUGAUCAAUUUUUAUUUGAAAAAAAAAAAAAAAAAAAAAAACAAUCAUAGAGCCUAACUUUUAACAAUUCAUUUCACAAAACAAUAAAAAUUACUAUGAUAUGGAUAUUUUUCUGGUAAGCAUCAUGCAUACAGCCUCAUAGAUUUAAGACUUAAAAGUAAGAUAGUUCUAUUUUGAAUAGGAUAAUGAUUUCUAAUGAGACCAUGCCUCUGUUUUGACACCUGAUAGGAUUUAUAGGUUCUUUCAACUAUAAGUUUCAAUUCAGUUUUGAUUCCAACUGUACAAUCAAUACAAUAAAACCCAAACAAUUGCUAAAUACCAUUAAAAAAAACAUCCCUUCACUAAGCGAAAAAGGGAAGAACCUAACCUGAUCAACAAAAUCACAGCAAACUUGACCACAACCUACAAAACCAGAAAAAUAUCCAUAGCAUCAAACACCGAGUGCAACCCACCAUUCAAAUACUUAAUGGAAACUAUUCGAAUACCCAAAAACAAAACCAACCAAAAACAAAUACUUGAAAAGAAGAAACCAAUGUAACCAACUAAUAAGCAAUGCUUUGAAUUUUGAAUAAGUUCAUUUGUCUAAAGCAUGAUUGACUAACCUGCAAUUAAGUUCCUCUUGUCUUCUGACCAUUGACUCCAAAUCUUUCUACUGCCUUUGACGUUCAUCAUACAGCAUAAAGCAAAAGCAUGAUCUCUGUGCAACUACGACUAACCCCUAGCUUCAGAACAACUAUGAGCCAACCCCCUUCAAAAUCAUCACUCAAAUAAACCUACUUUCUUAUCAUAGUCAUACUAAAUUCGUUUCAGAAAAAUAGAAAAACCAGCAACUCAAAAACAAAACAAAAAACUGAGCAAAAACCCCAAAUUUGAAUAACCUUACCAACUUGGGAUCAAAAAUCACAUCAGUACGGUUUUGAAGCAGCUCGAUGGAGGUGACACGCCACGCUCCGGAGAGCACCUUGAAGAGCAAAAAAUGAAUUGGAAAUCAAAGUAAUACACAAAACCCAGAACAAAAAAAAAAAAAAAGUUAGGAGACAAAAACAGAAAGGCAUGAUUAUUGAAAUCAAACAAAGAUAGCUCUUCAGUGUUACCAGAGAUCAAAUCCAAUCACAGCUACCAAAUCCUCUUUCUCUCUGUCACAAAAAUCCAAAAUUUGAUACCCAUAUCUCAAAUUGCUAAAAAUCGAAAUUUCAAAAUCACCAUGAAAUAGAAAACCAAAUGAUGAUAACCCAUAACCAAAAUUGAAAUCAAACAAGAACCUAUUCCAAUCCUAAACACCCAAACCCUAACGCUUAC